rnacentral:rRNA from 1 species
UACGUAGGGCGCAAGCGUUGUCCGGAAUUAUUGGGCGUAAAGCGCACGUAGGCGGCUUUCUAAGUCGGGGUGAAAUCCUGGAGCUCAACUCCAGAACUGCCUUCGAUACUGGAAAGCUCGAGUCCGGGAGAGGUGAGUGGAACUGCGAGUGUAGAGGUGAAAUUCGUAGAUAUUCGCAAGAACACCAGUGGCGAAGGCGGCUCACUGGCCCGGUACUGACGCUGAGGUGCGAAAGCGUGGGAGCAAACAGGG